rnacentral:rRNA from 1 species
UACGGGGGGAGCAAGCGUUGUUCGGAUUUACUGGGCGUAAAGGGCGCGUAGGCGGCCUCUGCAAGUCGACUGUGAAAUCUCCGGGCUUAACCCGGAACGGUCAGCCGAUACUGCAGGGCUAGAGUGCAGAAGGGGCAACUGGAAUUCUCGGUGUAGCGGUGAAAUGCGUAGAGAUGCGGAGGAACACCGAUGGCGAAGGCAGCCCCCUGGGCUAACACUGACGCUCAGGCACGAAAGCGUGGGGAGCAAACAGG